rnacentral:rRNA from 1 species
GGAAGGGUGGGGAUGACGUACAAAUCAUCAUCGCCCCUUAUGACCGUGGGCUACACACGUGCUAACAAGUGGGGCGGUAACGAAAGGGUCGCCGAACCCGCGAGGGGGAGCCAAUCCCAAAAAGCCGCUCCCAGUUCGGAUUGCAGGCUGCAACUCGCCUGCAUGAAGCCGGAAUCGCUAGUAAUCGCGGAUCAGCAUGCCGCGGUGAAUACGUUCCCGGGCCUU